ACGAACGCUGGCGGCGUGCCUAAUACAUGCAAGUCGAGCGAAUGGAUGGGAGCUUGCUCCCUGACAUUAGCGGCGGACGGGUGAGUAACACGUGGGCAACCUGCCCUGCAGAUGGGGAUAACUCCGGGAAACCGGGGCUAAUACCGAAUAAUCAGUUCCUCCGCAUGGAGGAACUCUGAAAGACGGUUUCGGCUGUCACUGCAGGAUGGGCCCGCGGCGCAUUAGCUAGUUGGUGGGGUAAUGGCCUACCAAGGCGACGAUGCGUAGCCG
rnacentral:rRNA from 1 species